UACAGAGACUGCAAGCGUUAUUCGGAUUCACUGGGCGUAAAGGGUGCGCAGGCGGUUGGGUGUGUCAGAUGUGAAAUCCCGAGGCUCAACCUCGGAACUGCGUCUGAAACUACUCGACUAGAGUACUGGAGAGGGUAACGGAAUUCACGGUGUAGCAGUGAAAUGCGUAGAUAUCGUGAGGAACACCAGAGGCGAAGGCGGUUACCUGGACAAUUGCUGACGCUCAGGCACGAAAGCGUGGGGAGCAAAAGGG
rnacentral:rRNA from 1 species